AUUGAACGCUGGCGGCAGGCCUAACACAUGCAAGUCGAGCGAGCGGCGGACGGGUGAGUAAUGUAUGGGAAACUGCCCGAUGGAGGGGGAUAACUACUGGAAACGGUAGCUAAUACCGCAUACUAUCAGAUGUGCCCAUAUGGGAUUAGCUAGUAGGUGGGGUAAUGGCUCACCUAGGCGACGAUCCCUAGCUGGUCUGAGAGGAUGACCAGCCACACUGGGACUGAGACACGGGCCAGACUCCUACGGGAGGCAGCAGUGGGGAAUAUUGCACAAUGGGCGCAAGCCUGAUGCAGCCAUGCCGCGUGUAUGAAGAAGGCCUUAGGGUUGUAAAGCACUUUCAGCGAGGAGGCGUUACUCGCAGAAGAAGCACCGGCUAACUCCGUGCCAGCAGCCGCGGUAAUUC
rnacentral:rRNA from 1 species